UUAUUGGGAAUUAUUUCAGAAGGUCUUUCUGUUCGUGAGAAGUAUGGGGCACAGGAUAGAAAAGGGAAAGAUAGGCAAGCCAGCGGGGGGACUAGAAGAACUCUUAAAAACAAGUUUGUUGACUACCAGAUGGUUUCACUCAUCUGUGGAAUCUACAGAUCUGAUUCACAUGAACUUGCCAAAAAAAAAAAAAAAAAGAAGGAGAAGAAGAAGAAGCAAACUGUUUCUAAGACUUGCGGGAACCCUGGUGGUUAUCUUUGAGAGGGGUAGUAAGUUGAAGAAAACUCUGAACUGCUGUUGCUUUAGAAGGACAAUGAUCUAGAGGGUCCCUGAGAGCAAUAUUCCUAUUCCACUGAAGGAGCCACCAGGUUCCAGGUGCUACCACGAUGCCAACCAGACUUCCCUGGACAAACGACCCCACCAAUGUGUCCUGGAGCUUUGAUUCCCCAGAGCCCCACCCCACGAGGGAAAGAGAGACAGGCUGGGAGUAUGGAUUGACCUGUCAACGCCCAUGUUCAGCGGGGAAGCAAUUACAGAAGCCAGACCUUCCACCUUCUGCACCCCACAAUGACCUUGGGUCCAUGCUCUCAGAGGGUUAAAGAAUAGGAAGGCUAUAAGGGGAGGGGAUGGGAUACAGAGUUCUGGUGGUGGGAAUUGUGUGGAGUUGUACCCCUCUUAUCCUAUAUUUUUUGUCAGUGUUUCCUUUUUUUAAUAUUUAUUUAUUUUCUCUUUGUUGCUUUGUUGUUUUUCAUUGUUGUAGUUGUUGUUAUUGAUAUCGACGUUGUUAGAUAGGACAGAGAGAAAUGGAGAGAGAAGGGGAAGACAGAGAGGGGGAGAGAAAGAUAGACACCUGCAGACCUGCUUCACCGCCUGUGAAGCAUCUUCCCUGCAGGUGGGGAGCCGGGGACUCAAACCAGGAUCCUUACGGGUCCUUUCGCUUUGCACCACAUGCACUUAGCCUGCUAAGCUACUGCCCGACUCUCUUGUUUCCUUUUUAUAAAUAAAUUUUUUUAAAUUAAAAUAAAAUUUUAUCUCUAGUU